rnacentral:rRNA from 1 species
UACGAAGGGGGCUAGCGUUGUUCGGAUUUACUGGGCGUAAAGCGCACGUAGGCGGAUCGAUCAGUCAGGGGUGAAAUCCCAGAGCUCAACUCUGGAACUGCCUUUGGAUACUGUCGAUCUGGAGUAUGGAAGAGGUGAGUGGAAUUCCGAGUGUAGAGGUGAAAUUCGUAAGAUAUUCGGAGGAACACCAGUGGCGAAGGCGGCUCACUGGUCCAUUACUGACGCUGAGGUGCGAAAGCGUGGGGAGCAAACAGGA